GCCAGCCCGCUCAGAAACUUAAAGGCGAGUUGACGGGGGCCCGCACAAGCGGUGGAGUAUGUGGUUUAAUUCGAUGCAACGCGAAGAACCUUACCUGGUCUUGACAUCCCGGAGACCCUUAGGAAACUAGGGGGUGCUUCCAUCUGGAAGAAUCUGGAGACAGGUGCUGCAUGGCUGUCGUCAGCUCGUGUCGUGAGAUGUUGGGUUAAGUCCCGCAACGAGCGCAACCCUUGCCUUUAGUUGCCAGCAGUUCGGCUGGGCACUCUAAAGGGACUGCCGGUGUUAAACCGGAGGAAGGUGGGGAUGACGUCAAGUCCUCAUGGCCUUUAUGACCAGGGCUACACACGUACUACAAUGGCCGAUACAAAGGGCAGCGACACUGCGAGGUGAAGCCAAUCCCGUAAAAUCGGUCUCAGUCCGGAUUGGAGUCUGCAACUCGACUCCAUGAAGUUGGAAUCGCUAGUAAUCGUGAAUCAGAAUGUCACGGUGAAUACGUUCCCGGGCCUU
rnacentral:rRNA from 1 species